GUGCCAGCAGCCGCGGUAAUACGUAGGGGGCAAGCGUUGUUCGGAAUUACUGGGCGUAAAGGGCGCGUAGGCGGCAUGGCAAGUCGGGAGUGAAAGCCCGGGGCUCAACCCCGGAGGGUCUCUCGAAACUGCCAAGCUAGAGUGCGGAAGAGGCAACUGGAAUUCCCAGUGUAGCGGUGAAAUGCGUAGAUAUUGGGAAGAACACCGGAGGCGAAGGCGGGUUGCUGGGCCGACACUGACGCUGAGGCGCGAAAGCCAGGGGAGCAAACGGGAUUAGAAACCCCAGUAGUCC
rnacentral:rRNA from 1 species